UGGUCCCCUUGGAACGAGCUGUCAAGUAGGAGCUUUUCUGUCAAGAAGGACCGCGAGGUUAAUUUUUCAAAAUUGAUUUAAAAAUCCAUUUUAAACUCUUUGUGGUCGUACGAAGGGUCAUUGUACUCAGAAAAAUAAGCUUUAUCGCUGUGAACAAUAAUAUCAGCAAUCUAAGCUUCAUUUUAGGACCCAAUUGCUAGUGAAAUUUAGAAUAAGAUUAUUUUAUUUUGUUUCAUAGAUUUGUCGGCAAAAUUGUCAUAAAUGUUCCCCCAAGGAACCUUUCAUGAGAUCACCGACCACUCCAGGUUGUGGUCACCACUGUCGAAAUGGCCAUCUUUCAUGAGAACCGCCGCAUCAUAGCGACUUCCACCGGUCCGCUUCGCUCGAAUUUCCUCCUUCUGGUUACUGGUCCUCUUCUUCUAUUGGCUGCUGCUGCUGCUGCUCCGCGCCGUCCCGAUGUACCCGGUUCGAGUGCUCGUUACAAAGUGACUUGCUUUUGCGAAAUUUUCUGCUUAAAUAGCGGCAGAGCCGGAGAACGGCGAAAAAAGGCUUCGAAUGCAUACGCUCGCUCUGAUUGGUCAUCUGCCCGAUUUGAACUGAAAAAUGACUCACUUUGAUUGCAUGUUUUAAGCACUUUAACUAUGUUUAGUCAAAGUUAUUAUGUAAUAAAACGAUAGCUUAAGUCUUCCUCUUUCUACUGGUGAUUGAAUCUUCUUGAUUAAUUGAUUGGGGGAAAAGAUAUAAGCGUUUGAAAUAUGUACGUGGUGAUUAUUGCAUUCGAUCGUAAUAUUUCGAUCGUAAUUUCUCGACUCACGAUCGAGAUUUCUCGAUCGUAAUAUUACGAUCGUAAUUUGUCGAUGGUAAGUCGUAAUUUGUCGAUAGUAGAUUGAGAUCAUUCGAUCGUAAUUUCUCGAUCUACCAUCGACAAAUUACGACCGACGAUCGAGAAAAUCUCGAUAUGGGUUCGAAGCUCGUUUUCGAAACUUUUUUUUUUAAUUCAUGAUUUUCAGAAA